GUUGAGAAAACAGGGAACUGUCUCUGAAGCAGAGUCCCUGGGAAUAAGCUUCGACAUUGUCUGUCACCUGGUGUUAAUUGUCUUGUGGCAAAUGGUGUUUCUAGUAGUAUUAAACACAUGAGGUGAAGUAAUUGUGAAGAAAGAAGACAAUUAUGGUAAUUUGCCUUGUGAAUUGCCUUUGGGAAAGUGUCUUAUUGGCAGGGUUUGUCUGUUCAAGUUCGAUGUUGAAGUGUGAAUUCAGCAUUGCUCUCGUUUGGCAUUCUGAGCUGUGCUUACACUGGCACUGAAUUGCCAUCUCCAUCUUCCUAGUGCCAGCUAAUGGUUUAGAUAUUAUCUCUAAAUGUCAUCUUCAAGAGGUCUCACAUCUAAGAAAGUGGGAAUAAUGUCCUAGGAGAACUCCUCAAACCUCUGACUGGCAGUGUUUUAGUACCUUAUUUCAGCCUAACUCAUUACUGUCCUCACUUGGAGAGUCGUACACAAUACAAUCCAUGGAAUCUGUGUCCUGAGGGGGGAGGGAUGGGGGUAUGCUUGCUAGUAGUAGUACUUCAGUCCCUGUUUUGCUGGUGUUACAAACUGCCUUUUUUCAAACUGUGCAUUCUAGAAAAUACUAAAUCACAGGUGUCACUCUUUUUAUUUAUUUUUUUUAAUGCACUAUGCUAGUUAACACCUAGUGCCUUAGGAGAGAAACUCUAUAAUGGUUAUGCUGUUAGAGAAAAUGAUUCCCCUAUUGUUAGUCUUUCUUUUUUAAUAGUUCAGUGAGACACUGCACCUCACUUAGACAAGGAAAGCAGCAGUGGAGAAGGCAGAGCAAGGAAAGUCAGCACUUUGCUCAUCUCAUGUGCAUUCAUUAUAAAAUCAGUGCAAAUGUAAGUGCUGUGGAACAAGGGUGAAGCAGUCUGAGGAGUGUAGUUCUUCUGCAUUUCUAUUUUAAUGAAAACCUUUUUGCAGCAGCUUUAAUAUAGGUCCCUCCCAAAACAGAUACCUAGAAUAGCCAUUUUUACAGAAAUUAUUUCACCCAGAGGAAGGAGAGCAUUUAAAACACCUACAAUGUAGAGUUCACAACAGAGCAAAUGCUGACUCUACUGUAAAAUGCCAGGUAACUUUAGUGGUUAUAAUAAGCAGAAUUUACUAAGGGACAAUGAAAGGCUAAUAUUAACCUUGACAAAUGGGGUGUCAAAAACAUGGGAUUUAACAUGGAACUGAAAUGGUAAAAUGCUGAUUUUCUGUUCUGCUAUUCCAGUCCUGAAGGAAAAAGGAAUUCCUUAAUAAGUUUUGAGCUUUUGCCAACUCAGUAGCCUUCAAACUAAACAGAACUACAGUGCUUAGACUGCAUUUAGGGGGAGGCAAUGCCUUAAAGCCGAAGAGAGUGCAGUGAAGCAGUGGCAAGAACAGAGCCGGCUGAGAACGGUGUGAGAUGCCCUCUGUCUUCAGUGGAGAGGAAGAUCUCUGUUCACGAGGCCCCUCGGCCCCAAGAGAAGAUUUUUUUACUGGAUUAAAAUCUUCACCAUGAUCUGUGAAGUGCUUUGGGGAUGCUGAUUGUUUUAGGCAUGUUGCAGGUAGGUGCACUGCCAAGGCCUGUGUAACCUGAGGCCAGUCCCAGUAGCAAGCACUCAGCCUGAACACCGAGGCUGAAGGGGAAGCAGCAAUGUCAGACACCAGUCAGGUGUUUUCCUGGAGCUGCUGUGCUGACAGCAGCAUGGAAACAUGUCCUCAAAGCAAGGCUGGUGCUGGAGAGAGACAGAGCCCCAGCUUCUGCAGCUGCUGGUCACUGCAGAGCCUCUGGUGCUGCACAUCGCCCAUCUCCAAAGGCCAUUUUGGCAGGGGAUUCAAAUGGUGACUUGACACCUCCUUUGACAAAGAAGUCACUCAACAGAGGAUCCCGAAGACCUGCUGCUAGGCAACGAAGGUGCCAUUGGCCUGGCAGUGGGAAUUCAGCCUCAGAGAUGAGCAGGAACAUCCCUUGGAGGAGUAGAGCAGAGGGGGAGAAUACACUUCUGGAGCAGUGUGCUAAACUCAGCCAGGGAAAUGUUAUAAGAAGCUGUCAGCCAAGUGUACAAUUAGUUAGCUUGCAUUACUGCAUCUUGCAAGUGUAAUCGAAAUCCAUCAUCAGAGAUGAUAAUCUUUUGCUGAUUGUACAUGUAAGGAGGUCCCUGCCAGGAACAACUUGCUCCAGGUACUGACCUGUUAUGGUCAUUAUUAAAUAUGGUUUCUGCCAGUGUAGCACCCAUUAAACUUCUGAGCGAGGCAAGAUGAUCCCUUGGAGAAUAUGCAGGAGGAAAAAGCCCGAAUGAGUGCAGAACUGGGAAUAGACUGCAGUAAUCCCCACAGUAAAUCAGGCCAUGGUGAAGAACUCUGUUUCUGCUGUGUGAGGGAGAUUCCUGGGGCUACAGCUGCAGUGGUACUGGACACCUGCCUAUAUGCCUUAGAAGAGUGUAUCCCAGCCCCUCAAAGCUGCAAUGCAAAGGGAUUUUCCAUGUGCUCUAACAACCACUGCCUCCUGAAUUCCCUGUUGCUGCUGGAUGCAGGGCUUGGCCUGAAAUUGGAAACUAUUUAAAACCUAACAAACGCCAGAAUCUAUCCCUGUUCUCUGAAUAGCAGCAGGAGUGUGGCUGUUAUGGUUGGACAUGGAAAUGAAGAACAAGCUCUGCUCCCCAGCAGGUGCUCCAGUGGAACUCGUGCAGUUCUCUCUUCAGGGACUGGUGUAAAUCCCAAACUGUUGCAGAGCAAUCACUGUACAAACAGAAGCUCCAACUGAAUGAAACCAGAAGAAGCCAAUGUGGCAAAUUGCCUGAUCAAAGUAAAGGAAGAAAGGUGGUGAUAUUCAUCUGGUGAGGCUCUAGAUUCCCAUUUCAGAAGUAGUACCAUUGCUUAAAUAUUGGGAAUAUUAGGGAUUUUACUUUUUUGAGGUCUUUGUUUUGCAAAAUAUGUGAUAGUUAA